rnacentral:lncRNA from 1 species
AUAGUGGUUUUGGCGGGUUUAUACUGGGUUCUUCCUGGUUUAUACUGGUUUAUACUGGGUUCUUACUGGUUUUGCCUGGUUUAUACUGGUUUAUACUGGGUUCUUACUGGUUUAUACUGGUUUCAGCUGGUUCAUACUGGUUUAUACUGGUUUUGGCUGGUUUAUACUGGUUUAUACUGGGUUCUUACUGGUUUUGGCUGGUUUAUACUGGUUUCGGCUGGUUCAUACUGGUUUAUACUGGUUUUGGCUGGGUUAUACUGGUUUAUACUGGGUUCUUACUGGUUUUGGCUGGUUUAUAUUGGGUUCUUACUGGUUUAUACUGGUUUAUACUGGGUUCUUACUGGUUUUCCCCCAUCUGUCUCCAUGCCGAGUACUGUGAGCUGGGUUAUACUGGUCCAUACUGGGUUAUACUGGUUUUAUACCGGUUCUAACUGGUUCCAUACUGGUUCUAACUGUUUCUCACUGGUUUUUCCUGGUUUUUCCUGGUUUUUCCCCGUUCCCAGACAUCCGUCUCCGCGUGCGUGCCGAGUACUGCGAGCACGACCGCGCUGGGUUAUACUGGGUUAUACUGGGUUAUGCUGGGUUAUACUGGGCUGUACUGGUCCAUACUGGUUCCAUACUGGUUCUAACUGGUUUUACACUGGUUCUAACUGGUUUUUCCCCGUUCCCAGACAUCCGUCUCCGCGUGCGUGCCGAGUACUGCGAGCACGACCGCGCUGGGUUAUACUGGGUUAUACUGGGUUAUACUGGGUUGUACUGGUCCAUACUGGUUUUACACUGGUUCUAACUGGUUUUACACUGUUUCUCACUGGUUUUUACUGGUUUCCUGUGUUUCCCAGACAUCCGUCUCCGCGUGCGUGCCGAGUACUGCGAGCACGACCGCGCUCUCCGCCGCGCCGUGGCCUCCAGCCGGCCGCGGGGCCCCGGCCGGGCGCUGGACGUGUUCGGCCAGGCCAGCGGCGUGCUCAAGGCCCGCGAUUUGGGCUCCAUCCUGUGCGAC